rnacentral:tRNA from 2 species
AGGGGCAUAGUUCAGUUGGUAGAACGGCGGUCUCCAAAACCGCAUGUCGUGGGUUCGAAUCCUGCUGCCCCUGCCA